rnacentral:lncRNA from 10 species
CGCCGGGCCCAUGGACGGCGCAGCCGAGCGGGCGCCCUGAGCGCGGCGCGGGUCCCCGGAGCGCCCCCGAGGCGAGCGCGAGCGAGGUCCGGCACCAUGUGCUAGGUCACUCCCAGCACAAGGCCACACCUGGGCCGUCGGAGCAGCCCCCCCUCACUUCAGGGGUCACCCUCCCCAGCACCCAUUGCCCCACCAUGGCCGGGGACCGGCUCCCGAGGAAGGUUAUGGACGCCAAGAAGCUGGCCAGCCUGCUGCGGGGCGGGCCUGGGGGGCCGCUGGUCAUCGACAGCCGCUCCCUUCGUGGAGUACAACAGCUGGCAUGUGCUCAGCUCCGUCAACAUCUGCUGCUCCAAGCUGGUGAAACGGCGGCUGCAGCAGGGCAAGGUGACCAUUGCGGAACUCAUCCAGCCGGCUGCACGCAGCCAGGUGGAGGCCACAGAGCCACAGGACGUGGUGGUCUAUGACCAGAGCACACGGGACGCCAGCGUGCUGGCCGCAGACAGCUUCCUCUCCAUCCUGCUGAGCAAGCUGGACAGCUGCUUCGACAGCGUGGCCAUCCUCACGGGUGAGUCUGGGACCCAUGCCUCCCUGAGGCACUCCCUCCGCCAGCAGUGGGGCUGGGGCUGGGGCGCCAGGGAAGCGUCUCCUGGGCACAGGGGCAUCUCCAUACAUUGGUAGUUCUUUUUUUUUUUUUUUUUUUUUUUUUGAGACAGAGUCUCACUCUGUCGCCCAGGCUGGAGUGCAGUGGCGUGAUCUCAGCUCACUGCAAGCUCUGCCUCCCGGGUUCAUGCCAUUCUCCUGCCUCAGCCUCCCGAGUAGCUGGGACUACAGGAGCCGCCACCAUGCCCGGCUAAUUUUUUGUAUUUUUAGUAGAGAUGGGGUUUCACCGUGUUAGCCAGGAUGGUCUGGAUCUCCUGACCUCGUGAUCCGCCCGCCUCGGCCUCCCAAAGUGCUGGGAUUAUAGGCGUGAGCCACCGUGCCUGGCCACAUCUGUGGUUCUUGAGGCCCCAGCAUCCUCUCCCCAGGACCCCCACACUUCAGGACCCACCAAUGAGUCUAUCCUUAACACAGAAGGAAACCUCACAGUACAGCUGGGCUCUGGAGGUGUAGGGCGAGGCAUGCAGGCUGGGAGCCCCUCCCCCUCCCGGGGCUCCUGUCAGAAGCGGGAGGCAGAGGCCCCGUCCUCUGGAAACUCAGUUGGAGCCGUGGGGUCCCGAGGAAGUACCCCUGCCCCCAAAAACCCAGCUAAGUGCAG